rnacentral:rRNA from 1 species
GAGGUCCCGCCUGCCCGGUGACUAAAUGUUUAACGGCCGCGGUAUUUUAACCGUGCAAAGGUAGCGUAAUCACUUGUCUUUUAAAUGAAGACCUGUAUGAAUGGCAUCACGAGGGCUUAACUGUCUCUUUUUCCCAGUCAAUGAAAUUGAUCUCCCCGUGCAGAAGCUGGGAUAAUAACAUAAGACGAGAAGACCCUAUGGAGCUUUAAACAUAUCAGGUUUACGUCACUACCCCCUUGUUAAAGGAAUGAACUAAGUAUAAGCCUAGAAAAUGUUUUUGGUUGGGGCGACCACGGGAAAAUACAUAACUCCCACGAUGAGAAAGCAUUUACUUUUAAAGCUAAGACCCCCAAGUCUAAGCCAUAGAAACUCUAACACAAAGAUCCGGCUUGCCGAUCAACGAAACGAGUUACCCUAGGGAUAACAGCGCAAUCCCCUUUAAGAGACCUUAUCAGCAAGGGGGUUUACGACCUCGAUGUUGGAUCAGGACAUCCUAAUGGUGCAGCCGCUA